rnacentral:lncRNA from 1 species
CUCCCUGUCCCGAAUGAUGGCUAUUACGUCUGGGCAAUCAUCGCCUGGGGUGUAUCUGUUGGUAUGUUCAUCAUGAACGAUGAUGCGUAUACCGGACAUCAUCCGUAUGACGUCUUGUUUGAUUCUUCGUUCCUCUUCUUCCACUGCGGGAUUUGGAACAAAGAUUUCUUUUCCUUUCACCGGUACCGGCUUGGGACAUAACAUAGCCUUUACGUUGGCUAGCACCUUUACGGGAGGUUGUGCGGACUCAGAGUUUGAAGGCGAAGAUAAACGCCACGUGGUUGAAGCUGAAGGAAUCUGCUGAUGUUUAUGAGGAUUCCUGUGAUUAGAACUGGCAAAAUAGCCUAGCCCAGCUAUUCCAGCUUUCCUGGUUAAGCAAAUUGGGUACUUGAUACCCUGGAAAUCUUUACUCAACCCUUGUCCC